UACGUAGGGGCGAGCGUUGUCCGGAUUUACUGGGCGUAAAGGGAGCGUAGGCGGACUUUUAAGUGAGAUGUGAAAUACCCGGGCUCAACUUGGGUGCUGCAUUUCAAACUGGAAGUCUAGAGUGCAGGAGAGGAGAAUGGAAUUCCUAGUGUAGCGGUGAAGUGCGUAGAGAUUAGGAAGAACACCAGUGGCGAAGGUGACUUCCUGGACUGUAACUGACGCUGAGGCGCGAAAGCGUGGGUAGCAAACAGGAUUAGAUACCCUGGUAGU
rnacentral:rRNA from 1 species